GGGGGCGAUCUGGUUUCGACGGGAGAGCUGAUACAAAGGUUGCAUGCACGGGACGCCGUUGGCCCGUUAAAAAACGGCUUUUACAUAAUCGCCAACGAUUAUGAUGUAGCUGUAGCCGCUUAAUUUAACCGGUUACCGUCCGCCGUAUCCAUGUUCGCGGGAUACGGGUCGGACGUCACUCAGCGGACUGGUUUGGAUCGCAUGUUCCGGGCGAGCCAAAUGAGAUUUUCAGGAACUGGCUUAGGCCAAAUCUUGCCUUUGGAGUUUGCCUAAGUAAGACUCAAAUCAAAGGAUAAGCAUGUAGACGCCUUUGCUUGAAACCUUUCGGACGGGGGUUCGAUUCCCCCCGCCUCCACCA
rnacentral:tmRNA from 1 species